ACCUGGUCAGCUCAGUUGGUAGAGCGCUCCACUGAAAAUGAAGAGGUCCCUUUUUCGGUUCCAGGACCAGGGG
rnacentral:tRNA from 1 species